UACGUAGGGUGCGAGCGUUGUCCGGAAUUACUGGGCGUAAAGGGCUCGUAGGCGGCCAACUAAGUCAGACGUGAAAUCCCUCGGCUUAACCGGGGAACUGCGUCUGAUACUGGAUGGCUAGAGGUUGGGAGAGGGAUGCGGAAUUCCAGGUGUAGCGGUGAAAUGCGUAGAUAUCAGGAGGAACACCGGUGGCGAAGGCGGAUCUCUGGGCCUUACCUGACGCUCAGGUGCGAAAGCUAGGGGAGCGAACAGG
rnacentral:rRNA from 1 species